UACGAAGGGGGCUAGCGUUGUUCGGAAUUACUGGGCGUAAAACGCACGUAGGCGGACUACUAAGUCAGGGGUGAAAUCCCGGGGCUCAACCCCGGAACUGCCUUUGAUACUGGUAGUCUCGAGUCCGGAAGAGGUGAGUGGAAUUCCGAGUGUAGAGGUGAAAUUCGUAGAUAUUCGGAGGAACACCAGUGGCGAAGGCGGCUCACUGGUCCGGUACUGACGCUGAGGUGCGAAAGCGUGGGGAGCAAACAGG
rnacentral:rRNA from 1 species